GCAGGCCUAGCCCAAUUGGUAGAGCAACUGACUUGUAAUCAGUAGGUUGGGGGUUCAAGUCCUCUGGCCGGCACCA
rnacentral:tRNA from 1 species